rnacentral:rRNA from 1 species
GAUGAACGCUGGCGGCGUGCCUAAUACAUGCAAGUCGAGCGAACAGACGAGGAGCUUGCUCCUCUGACGUUAGCGGCGGACGGGUGAGUAACACGUGGAUAACCUACCCAUAAGACUGGGAUAACUUCGGGAAACCGGAGCUAAUACCGGAUAAUAUAUUGAACCGCAUGGUUCAAUAGUGAAAGACGGUUUUGCUGUCACUUAUAGAUGGAUCCGCGCCGCAUUAGCUGGUUGGUAAGGUAACGGCUUACCAAGGCAACGAUGCGUAGCCGACCUGAGAGGGUGAUCGGCCACACUGGAACUGAGACACGGCCCAGACUCCUACGGGAGGCAGCAGUAGGGAAUCUUCCGCAAUGGGCGAAAGCCUGACGGAGCAACGCCGCGUGAGUGAUGAAGGUCUUCGGAUCGUAAAACUCUGUUAUUAGGGAAGAACAAAUGUGUAAGUAACUAUGCACGUCUUGACGGUACCUAAUCAGAAAGCCACGGCUAACUACGUG